AUGAAGCGGGCCUGGGGGAGGGAGGGUGUCAUAGACCAGCUGAAGUUCUCUGGCAUCCCAGGAGGGGCUGCACAGGACUCAUGGGGCAUGGAGAAGAGUCACGUGGGUGUGCCCCCUCAACACUGUGGUUCUCAAAUGUGUGCGUAUCCAUUCUGGUGUCUGGGUGAAGGGCGGUUCUGCCUCAGCAGGUCUGGGUGGGUCUUGAGCUUCCGCCUUCCCAACAAUCUCCAGGUGAGGCUGAUGCUGCUGGCUGGAGGAGCACAAGGUUGGAGACAGGUAGCAAGCUUGGGGGCAAAAAGAGGCCCCAAGGACGUUGAAGGUAUAGGGUGCACACAGCUCAUUAUGGGUGUGGCAGAGUGCAGGUGGGCCAGGCAGGGUCCCAUCUGCAGGGUUCUCUGGGCUUCCAGAAUGUUCUUUCCAUGCAUCUGCCUGAGCCUUUACCACACUGUCUACGGUUCAUCAGGUAUGCUUUCUUUCCUCCUUUUGCACAUGCAGACCCAGGAUGGGACCAUAUCUCCAUCAUCCUGGUGGCCUGAGAAUAUGGUGCCCUGUUCCAGGUAGGAAGCUUUCUGCACCCAAGUGAGGAAGGAGGGAGCCCUACCCUGACCCUCCAGCCCAUGCCCCCCAGUCCUCAGCUCCUGAGCUCCUGCAUGGCCCACAGUGGGCCACCACGUGACGCCUCUGGUUCCCGGACUCACGGAAGAUCUCCGCCCUGCUGAGUGAGAACGAAGACCAGGCUCGCACUGCGAUCUCCUAGAGCCCCAAUUCUAAAAUGCCUUUGCCUGUAGGGGGCAACAUCGACCUAACAACAGCACCCAGGGAGAGCAAGUGAAACCCCAUUACAUUUAGCAUUCAUCAUAAUUAUAAAAUAUGUCCCAAUUCCACACAAGCUAAACGGAGAAACGAGAAUGAGUGUCUUAGAACCAAGGAGAUGUGGUGGUGUGACUUCCCUUCUUCUCAUUAGUAAUUUGCUGACAUCACACUUCGUACCCCAAGGGUUUGCUGUGGGGAGUUGAGGUGGCUGCCUCCCUGUCCCUCUUGGCUUAGAGGCCAUCAGCAGGGGAGACUGGUGGGGGAUGGCAUCUGUACUGGGCCCAGCGCUCUGUCCAGCCUCAGAGAGGCUGGGCCCUGAACACCCACCCUGACCUCCUGCAUCUGAGCGGGAGUCUGCAUGACCAGGGGACCUGUCAAUCUAGAGUCUGUGACUGGCCCCUCUCUUUAGCUCAUGCUCCGGUAUCUGCAGCCCCAGGACUCCCAGAUCUAAAUCUCGAGCUGUUUUUAGGGCCCACUUGAAUCCACCUUCCCGGGACAAACAGUGGCAAAGGGGCUGUUAGUGGAGGGUGUGGAUGGGGCUGGGUCUGGGCUUGUAUAGCCUGGGGUACUCGUGCCAGGGCAGGGUGUGUCCUUGUGCAGGAUAGAGAUGGGGUGGGGAGAGCUGGGGCAGAGCCAGAGGGUGGACCCACUCUUAAGCAUCACAAUUCCUGCUGCCACGUGUAUUCUGAUGCUUAACUUUAAGGAGUUGGAGAAUUCUAAAUUUAGCCCUGGCCUUCUGGGUCGGCAGGAAGUAUAUUUGUCAAGGUCAGAGAGGAUAGAACACAUUUUAUCGAGUGUUUUGUUAGUGUGAUUUAUAUAUGGGCCUCCAGGGGGCUCCUGCCCUAGGCCUGCCAAUGCUAGGUGCGGGCCUCAUGCUUGCCAGGUGACUGAAGGACUGAAAUGAACAUGCAUAAGGCACCUUCCCUUCCCUUCCUGGGACUUGGGACUUACAGCUGGCAACUGCAGCUCUGUGCACCUGAGCAUAAAUCAGGUCAGUGUCCACUUUCGGGAACCUACCAACCCCCAAUCCAAAUGUCUCCUUUCUGCCCCCGAACUGCCCCUCAGGGUCACAGCAGGAGUAGGCUCGAGGGUGACAUCUUCCAGGGUGGUUUCAUCUUUGUCUGGUUGAACUUUGAAAACCAUUCGCUGGGCUUGGUCUCUCACCUGUGGGAGGCUCUGCACUGAGGACUGAUUUCAGGAUGAACGCCCAUUCCCUGUGCUGUGCAGAGACGUCUGUGCGCGCUGGCUCUGGAGUUGGAACCAGAGUCUCAAGGAGCACUGCCUUCUCUGUUAUCCUCGGCCGUGCCUGAAAGGGCAACAAGGUUUUGCAAUUGGAUCGGAGACCGGCCAGGGACCCAGCCAUAAUGGUAUUCAUGUUUAUUCUGUAGGGAGCCCUUUCUAUCUGCAAAUAUUAGCUAAUCCUUGGCUUUGCUCUGAGAGAGAUGCCAGCGAGAUAGACAGAGGCUGGGGCCCGAGUCAGGAGCUAUGCUGAGAAGAAUUGAAGAGCAGCAUCAACGGGUGCCCGGGGGAGCUGAAUCAAGAGACACAGCUAAUCCCUGGCCCUCCUAUUAUCUCUUGACAUAUUACAGUCUGGUUUCUGGUCCCUGGAAUGUCCAGGGAGCAGGGAUUUCUGCUUCAUUAAUUUUCCGGGCACUUUGAGGUUAAUGGGGGGAGAGGAAAAGUCUCUCUUUUCAGAUUUUGUUGUGGAAAAUCACUGAGUCCUGGUUUCCCCUCCUUGCCUUGGGAAGCCCAUGCAGGCCCAAGAUGGAGCCUGGGGGCGGCGGGGGCAGUUGUCAAGCCUGCAUUCCGCAUGCAGCACCUGGUUCUAUGGUGUGCAAGGUGCGGGGGGCUGCGCGGCUUCUCUUCUGGCCCCAGGAUGAACCCUUCAAACUCUUUCGUUUCUCAAACAAGCCCUCUGGCAUGAUGCAGCCUUUCUUGUCAGCGGCCUCUCUCUCUCCCCAGAGCAGGACGGGGAAACCUUCCCAGGUAAUUGAAGAGUGUUGCUAGCUGGAUCCUGGGUGAUUGAGUUUACACGCCGCUUUCAUGUCUGUUUCUGUUUUCUUUCCCCUUCUUCUGAAAGAUAACAGGGUGAGAGAAAACACAUGUCAAGUAGAAGCUUGCAAGUGAACGCAGGGAAAAGAAUGCUCCCAGGGCUCCCCAGGCUGGGUGCGCGGCCUGGACAAACCAGCUGCGGCACUGUGACAGGCUCCGUUGUGCUUCCUCUCCACAAAGUCAUGGGUUGAAGCCUUCACCCUCAAUGUCACUGUAUUUGGAGAUAGGACCUUUCAGGAGAUUGAAGGUUAAACAAUGUCAUAAGGGUGGGAGCCUUGUCUGAUUGGACUGAUGUCCUUCUAAGGAGAGGAAGAGACAGCAAGGAUGCUCUCGUGCAGAGGAAAGAGUGUGUGAAGCCACAGCAGGAAGGGGAUCGCCUGCAAGCCCAGGAGACACCAAAGCCAUGAACGCCUGGAUCUUGGACUUUGAGAUCACAAAUAGGGAAAAAUAAAUGUUGGUUGUUGAACCGCCCAGUCUGUGGUAUUUCAUUAUGGCAGGCCGAGCGGACUAACAGGGACCUGGGGCCCGUCUGGCAUGGGGCUUCCUCCAGCAGGGAUGGUCUAGGAUUGCAGCAGGCUCAGCUCUGUCUGCCCAGCCUCCUUCUAUUGAGGGGGCUGCCCCUGCUCCACUGCACCUGCUCCCAGGGGACAUCAGGUGCCAGCCCUGCCCAGGCCCUUGUGAUUGACCCGGCUUGAGUUUGGGGGUCAGGGCAUGUGGGUCAUUGGUCUCCACACAUGUCUUCACUACAGAGUCCCCAGACGGCAGGAGGGUCGCCUUAUCCAAUUUCCUGCUUUACAAAUGCUAAUAUUUCAACCAGCUGACCUCGAAUGAGAAAUCAGUAAUUGCCCAAAAGAAGAUCUCCCUUCCAAAUCAUCUCUGGAUCUUGAUUUUGGAGACCCAGCCCCUGGGCUGGAAGUGGUGUGGGCUCAGCCCAGGGCAUCCAUUCUUCGUUUUCUUAACUAACAGGAAAAGCUGUAUGAAGAGGGCAAGAAAAUGCCUCUCUGUGAGUUUUCUAAGGAAUGAAAUGUGUGCAAAAUCCUGCUGGGGGAGCUGUCUGGGGAAAAGAAGCAUUAAAUCUAUCAGCAAGUAACUUCCCUGCAAAGCUGCAGGCCUUCCGCAGUCGCCCUUCCGAUGGCAACCCCUCCAGUCCAUCACCUUUGCUGCAUCCGUGAAGGUGGGAGUGCUGCCCAUUGGUGCAUUCCAGGCUCUGUCCAGUUCCAUGUGGACUCACUUCUCCACCUACAGGAGCAAGGCUGCGUCUGGAAAUGCACUUUCUUGUGUCUGUGGGUUUUGUUGGGCCCUGAAGACAGGGUCUGGAGACCAGGGUUCCAGCCCAGUUUGGUCAUGGCUGCUUUCCCCUAGCUGCUGUAACAAAUUAUCUCAAACCUGGUGGUGGAAAACCGUUGUGGAGGACAGACAUCUGAAUUCAGUCUGAAGGGGGUAAAGUCAAGGUGUUGGCAGGGCUGGGUCCUUCUGGAGGCUCCAGGGGAGACUCUGCUCCCCGGCUCUUCCAGCUUCUGGUGGCUCCUGGCAUUCCCUGGCCUGAGGCCACGUCGCUGUAUCACUCCGGUCUCUGUCUCUGUGGGUCACAUAGAUCUCUCUGCUUCUGUACCAAAUAUUUCUCUGUCUCCCUCUUAUGAGGACACCUGUGCUUGCAUUUAGAGCCCACCUGGUUAAUCUAGGGUAAUCUCCCAAGCUCAGGGUUCUUCUUCUUUUUUUUUUUUUUUAGACAGGUCUCACUCUGUUGCUCAGGCUGGAGUGUAGUGGCACAAUCAUAGCUCACUGCAGCCUCGACCUCCCGGUCUCAAACAAUCUUCCCAUCUCAGCCUCCCAAGGAGCUGGGACUAGAGGUGUGUGCAACCACACCUGGCUAAUUUUCGUAUUUAUUUAUUUAUGUAUUUAUAC
rnacentral:lncRNA from 1 species